GGUAUUCGGCCAGCAGGUUGGCGGCUGCUUUUCACCUGUUUCCCCAGCACAGCGUGACCUCGUUCAGUAGGUAAGUGCUAUACUGAUCAAUAGAAGCCAUGGAUGACUGGAGAGACAAGCAACAAAAUAGACUAAAAGGAAAAACGUGCAAAAAGCACACAUCCCAACAACUGGGAAAAACAAAAGGAACAAAAGGCGACAAAAUAAUAGUUCCCUGUUGCGUUUUUUCCAGCACCUAGCAAUAUAUUGCUUUGAAUAAUCUGUCAAAGUCCUACUGAUUCAAGAGACACCCCUUUAUUAGACUGGAAGCUGUACGUGAUACACCAGAGACAUAAACAGUCCAGAUAAACAAUUCAUUAAAAUAUCAACAGCAGAAAGUAAUCAAGUAGGCUAGGCUACUCAUCUUACUGUGUCGAGGGAUGAAAUAUGAAAAGACGACACCAUAUUUCAGCUAUACAAAGACCUGGUUUGAACAUACUGGCAGUACUGUAAGCAGUUCUGGGUACCAUAGCUUAUAAAGAUACAACAGCCUUGGAAGAAAUGGAAUUUAGAUUUACCAGAAUGAUUCUAAAAUGGUAGAUUAAGAGUAGCACAUGCUCAAAGAACAAAACAGCACAGAAACAGACCAGACCAUUUAGCCUGCCAAGCCUGCACCAACACAUUUUGCCCUUCCAUACUAAAACUGUCUUCAUUUACAGGAUCCAUAUCCCUCUACUCCAUUGCUAUCCAUGUAUUCAUCCAGGUGCUUCUUGAAUACUGCUAUUAUGUCUGCUUCCACCACCUCCUUUGGUAGCGCGUUCCAGGCACUCACCACUCUUAGUGGAAAAAAUUUGCCUCGUGCAUCUGCUUUAAACCCCGUCUACGCCACCUAAUCUUGAACCUCUGUCUCUAGUGAUUGAUGCCUCCAUACAGGGGAAAAAGCCUCAUACUUUCUACUCUAUCCAUGCCAUUCACAAUCUGAAGCAGUGCAAGAUAGUGGAUAUAGACACAUCCCUCCCUCAUGAGCUCAAUGCUUUCUAUGUUCGGUUUGAGCAGAAUGCCAGCGACACAGUCAUGCCAGUCCCAACAGCCACGGACAUGCCUGUUCCCUCUGUCAUUGCUUCAGAUGUUAUCAGUCUCCUGGGAAUCAACCCAAGGAAAGCGAUGGGCCUGGAUGGUGUCCCUAGCUGAGGACUCGGAUCCUUUGUUGACUAAAUGGCAGAGGUAUUCAACAACAUCUUCAACCUGUCCCUCCUACAAACCAAAGUCCUCACCUACUUCAAGAAGAACACUAUCAUCCCUAUCCCUAAGAAAGUACGUGCAAUAUGCCUUAAUGACUACUGUCCAGUGGCUUGGACUUCAAUAAUCAUGAACAAAAACUGAAGUUGCUGGAAGCUCAACAGAUCUGGCAGCAUCUCAGAAGAAAAAAUAUCAGAGUUAACACUUCGGGUCCAGUGACUGAGCUUCCAGCAACUUCUGUUUUUGUUCCUGAUUUGCAGCAUCUGCAGGUCUUUUGGUUUUUAUUCAAUAACCAUGAAGUGCUUUGACAGGCCAGUCAUGCCCACAUCAACUCCAGUAUCCCAGCCGACCUCAAUCCCCUACAGUUUACCUACCGAUGUAAGAGGUCCACAGAGGAAGCCAUAUCCCUAGCCCUGCAUUCAUCCCUGGAAUAUCUGGACAUCGAAGAUAUCUAGGUCAUUCUUGUCGACUACAGCUCUGCCUUUAACAGCAAUAUCCCCUCCAGACCGAUCUCAAAACUGCGUGACCUUGUCUCGGUUCCACUCUCUGCAACUGGAUCCUCAGACUGCAAGUCAGUGAGUAUAGGUAAGUGCACCUCCUCCGCAAUAACACUCAACACUGGAGCCCCCCCCAAGAAUGCAUCCCUACUGUACUUCCUGUACACCUACGAUGGUGUUGCGAAAUUCUGAACAAACACCAUCUACAAGUUCGCUGAUGACACCACAAUAGUGGGACAGAUUUCUAACAACUAUGAGUCAACCUAAAGAAGGGAGAUGGAGAGCUUGAUAAUGUAGUGCAUUGAAAACAAUGUGUCUCUUAACGUUGGCAAAACUAAAGAACUGACACAAGGUGUAGAG